rnacentral:misc_RNA from 1 species
UAUUCUUCAGGUCCGUGCUGAUCGCAUACAACAUGAUCUUGAGGAGCUACUGAAGGCCUUGGUGGAUCGUUGCAAGAAACACGAGCUUAAUAUGAAGUCAACUGCGUUAAUUGAACUCCCCCCUGGCUGGCAACCUGGAAUUCCGGAGAUAUCAGCUGUUUGGGAUGAAGAUUGGGAUAAAUUCGAAGAUGAAGGAUUUUCUUUUGAUGUAGCUGUGCCUGAAAAUUCCAAAUCCACAUCUGUUCAGAAGGAAAGUUCUCCGACUCAUCGCGAAUCCUCUGAUUCUAUGUCAAAUGCUGAUGCCAAGUCAGAAAACCAUUCCGCUAAAGGAAACAAUAGUACUGUUGAGACUGAUUUGAUGUAUAUGCAUAGCGACGAAGAGUCAAAAAGUCCACAGGGAAGUCCACGAGAACAAACAGCAUUUGAUAGUCCUUCUGGUGAAUACUCUGAUAACCAUUUCGGCAAGAGCUUUAAAACGGAAUCUGAAACUGAUAGAUUUGAUGAACCUGGCUGGGGUACGUUUGACAAUAAUGAUGAUGUGGAUUCUGUUUGGGGCUUCAGUGCUAAGGAGUCGGAUCAUGUGAAGCAUGGAGAGAAACAUUUCUUUGACUCAACUGAUUUCGGUGCAAGUCCAACAAGGACAGAGUCUCCUGGGGCUGAAAGUAGAUACCAGAAGAAUAGCCCAUUUACCUUUGAGGAUUCAGUUCCUGGCUCACCACUUUCAAGAGCGGGAACUUCUCCUAGAUAUAGUGUAGGAUCAAAAGAUCCUUUCUUUGACAGUUUCUCAAGGUAUGAUUCCUUCAGUACAAAUGAUCGUGCAUCUUCCCCACGAAAGGAGACCCUCACGAGGUUCGACUCCAUAAAUAGUGCCAGUGGUUUUGAUCAUAGUCGAGGAUACUCAUUUGAUGACGCAGACCCAUUUGGAUCCAGUGGACCAUUUAAGGUCUCAUCUGAGAGUCAAAACACCAAGAAAAGUUCUGAUCAUUGGAGUUCGUUCUAGUUUGUGUUAUAUUUGAUUGCCAUUGGGCCAUUGUUCCUCGGCGUUUUCCAUGCCAUCUAUUUGCACGUGUGUGUUGUAUAGCCUAGAAGAUGCAGUUUAUAUUGGUUUUCCAAAUGUUUGAAGAAUCCCAGUGGUCUUCACGACGACAGAAAUCCAUUUUUCCAGGUUGAAGUAAUUUUAGUCAUGUUUUUUCUGCUUAGAGAGGGAAAAUGAGAAAAAGAAAGGGUUGGGUUUUGUAAUUCAUUUUUCGCUAUGUACUGUUCGAGAAUUGCAAUAUGUUUGUAUCACAGUUUUUUUGGUUUGGUAUCCUUGAUUGUAUCAAAUGGUUUGCCACUCGCAAUAAAUUUUUUCAUCGGUA